rnacentral:lncRNA from 1 species
GCGCAGAGGGUAGUGAGGGAAGGAGUGAGUACAGACACGCAAGGGAAAGAAGCACUGCUGAGAUGGGCCCAGCUUCAGAGCCAUAAAGGAGCUCUGUUCUGUAAGGACAAGGGCCAGAGCAAGAAUUGGAGCAUCAUGGAGCAGCAGUUUGGAAAGGACAUCAAAGGAGGAAAGGUCACCCCAGCUGCAGAUGCAGCCGAGCAGUCCGCGUGCUCCUGGGGUUUGCCCUGCCACAGACAGCGAGGUUCACAUUUCUGGGUGCUGAGCGUCAUGAGCAGGCUCACGCUGGGAAAUUGCACAGAGCAAUCCAUAUCCUCCAGGAGCCUCAGCAGAGCUCUUCCAGCAGCUCCAGUGGCAGCGCCAGCAAUGAUCCUGUGUGUGAAUGGGGAGUUUGGUCUUGCCGGGAAGCAGGAACCACCAUGGGAAUUACAAGGAGGGGCAGCAUAUCUCAACAGGAAAGUCAUCCAGGAAGUCUCAUUUCCAAGAACCAGCUGGUAAACAGUUUAGAGCACCCUGUUCACAUCUGUAACACUCAGCAAUUAAUGAGGCACUCAUGUACCUAUAAAAUAACCAAUUCAGUCCCGCUUAUUUAUAUCACUGGUUGAGCACUUUGUCACUGGUUUUGAAGAGGGAAAACUGGACUGAGCCCCAGAUACAAAACUGGGAAGUGCUGGCACUGUAAAGUGGCCUAUCUCCCCUUUUUAACAAGCAGUGGUUAUGGUUUUAAUUUAAUGUCAAAGGUGUUGGGAGUGGCCUUUAACAGGUAAUUAAUAGCCUGAAAUACCCUAAUCUUUAGGACUGUUCAGGAUUAUACUGUAAAGCUAGUCUAGAACUACCAAAAUAUUUGUCAGACAAGCAAUUCAGAACCUCAGAAACCUUCCCCAGCAGCUCUCCCGGGCACAGAGGUGAGCGCAGCUCCCACCCAAAGCACAGACCUGCACUGGGAAACCCUGAUCAGACUUGACUUCAUUUCAGACAGAAAUGAAGUUUGCUUUUCCUCGCUGACCCGAAACUCUCGCAGUGUAGCGACAGGCAACCUUCGGCGGGGUCCACGUAAGAAGAAUACAGCUGCUCUUUUCUAACGGGAGGAAGAAGGAGGCUUUUAUGGCUGUCCCUGAAGAGAGCCCUCUCACAAUGCUUCGCAGUGUCUAAACAGACCUACGUGCUCUGAUCCCACUUGGCAAUAAUGAAGGACUUGUAUUCCUCCGGCUCCGGGGACCAGCUCGCCCGCCGGGCUGCAGAUGCCGGCUCCGGUUACAGCGACGGCGCGUUACAAACCUGUGACAUUUAAGCGAGGAUGAAAAUUAAAAUUGUCUUUAGCCAUUGUCCGUAUAUUUACCCUUUGCUUUGCUCUGUUUCUAUGGCAAUGAACAUAAAAGGAUCACAUGCGUUCCUCUCGGAGGGGGCGGGCGGGGGAGGGACGAGCUCCGUUCUGCGGGCAACCGCGCCCCGCCGUGGCUCCGCACAGAGCGCGGCCCCGCACACUGCGCACAGCACC